rnacentral:rRNA from 1 species
CAAUAGCGUAUAUUAAAGUUGUUGCGGUUAAAAAGCUCGUAGUUGGAGUUCUGCCAGGUGACACUCGUCCGCCCAAGUGGUGUGUACAGGGUGUGCAUCUGGCCCUUUCAAGGGGAACGUGUCUGCACUUCAUUGUGUGGUGCGAGAUCCUUGACUUUUACUUUGAGGAAAUAAGAGUGUUCCAAGCAGGCUCUCGUCGUGCAUAGCUCAGCAUGGAAUAAUAGCAUUGGACUUCGUUUCUACGCUGUUGGUUGCAAGAAGCGAGGUAAUGAUGAAGAGGGAUAGUUGGGGGCAUUCGUAUUUAACUGUCAGAGGUGAAAUUCUUGGAUUUGUUAAAGACGGACUACAGCGAAAGCAUCUGCCAUGGAUGUUUUCAUUGA